rnacentral:lncRNA from 1 species
UCUGGAUUCCAUUCCGUCUUCCUUGAGGGCCCCACCCUCAUCCCGGCACGUGAUGACGUAGGACGUAAGGACGCCCCCCCCCGCCGGUAGCCAUCUUCGUGCAUAGGCAAACUUAUUGUAGCUAGACUGUACAAAGUAUAUCAAGAUAUGCCAAAUAUUGAGCUUAACUUCACCUGUUUGAGAGACGGUGUUUCUUUUAGCUUGCAACACCAUGAAAAAAUUACUGAGACACUAGGAAUGCUGUGAACUGAGAAAGUUUGGGACCUUUGGCAUAACUAAAUCCUUCAUUUAACAGAUGGAGUCUCAGUCUGUCACUAAGGCUGGAGUGCAGUGGCGCGAUCUCGGCUCACUGCAACCUCCACCUCCCGGGUUCACGCGAUUCUCCAGCCUCAGCCUUCCACGUAGCUGGGACUACAGGUGCAUGCCACCACACCCAGUGUUGUGAACCACUUGUCAUGGGAUAACCAAAAUUAAACCUGGAAUCGCAGAAGAAACAAAUUUUUUGAAGAAAUUGGAUGUACUUUUUUAAAAUUUUUCAUUCAACUAAAACUUUGUUAACUGUUUCUUGGUUGUGGUCUUCUCUAAAUUGUAAUCUUUGGCAUUCACUUCCAAAGUAUCCACCACUAAACUUCAUAACAUUUAUUGUGUCUCUUCAUCAUUAAACUUUGAUGAAUUUACAGAGUGUCUUUUGAAAUUAUGUUCUUGAGAAAGCCAGGGGAUUGGACGGUGUCAUGGAAAUGUCAAAGAAAAAGUGACACCUGAGAGAAAAUUUGAAAGAUGAAAGGUGCACAUCAUGGAGACAAUCUGACUGGUACAGAGAAAUGAAGAGACAACAUUUUCUUUCCAAAUCUGAGUGGAGAUACUCAGAGUUUCUUCUCAAAUGUACACUGAUAAAUACUCAACUGAAGAUUCAACUGAAAUCCUCUAUGGGUCUCCAGACUCCCCCAUUCUGGAACUCUUCCCUGCAAAUUCCAGCUGCCUAAACUCCCUUCCAUCUCUCAGUUUCUCUAUAACUGAGGAACACCGUCAGGCUCCAGCUGGAUUUUCCUUCCUUGUGCACUGAUCUGGAAAGUCUUUCACAUCAGUAAGUGAGGGAAAUCAUAGAGUUCUCCUGGAUAGAAGAGGCCCUGGUUAGCAGCUUCAGAUGAUGGAUACAUAAAAAUGGGAGAGAGAAAACAUAUAAGAGUGACUAAUUGUUGAGUUUCCAGGGCUCAAACCAAUCUUGAAUUGGAAUUUCAAGACAUAAAAACCACUGCAGGAACCUGCUGGAGAAACGGCCUCUGUCAUCUCAUGAUCAGAUAUGUUGCCAUUUAUAGGAUGUUUGUAUUCCUGCUUUUCUCCAAUAUACUAAAUAUUGUUGUGGGAUCACAUGAUCAAAUGAAGAUUAUGACAGAAGAAUCUAACUGUAUUACAAAUGUGUGAAACAGCCUUGUUGAAAGGAGUCGGGGUAAAGUGCUGACCUAAUUAACCUUGGAAAUAAGAUGUGCAAGAAUAAGGUUAACAGACCUCAACGCAAGCACUGUGCUGUAGUUGAUAAAGCUGUACAUAGUGGCUUCCUUUUAAAGAGUAUAACGUGGAAAGAUUGAAAAAGAGUAACUUUACAGUGGAGAAAAUGGACAACGAUGUUGCAGCCAGGCAAUCCACGGUAAUAUCAGCAGUGACAAGGUAUGCUGACAGGAUGCACUCUCCUUGGUAUUUAAGGAAAGAUUGUUAUCCACCCAAAAGCCCAUAACCCCCUUUUAACCACAAGGUUAAACAUCAGGCCACUUCACUAGAUGCACGUUCUCAGCUUGUGCCCAUCUCAAGUACCAUCACUGUGGUCUCGCCUGGUACUCUUUUUGUUUUUUUUUCCCACAGUGGCCAGACAGGCCCUUUUCCGAUUCUCCAUACACACUUGAGAGUGGAUUGUAAUGUUGAACAAGGAAGAGAGAUAGGAAAAAAAAAAAAAAAAACUAUGCAGCCUAGAACAUUGCUUCUAAACAUGUCCAUGCUCACAGAUCUGCCGGGGUCAGACUCCUCAUAGAUGCAGCUCACCUGACUUCUCAGGAAGCCCUCAGAUGAGUUUCACUAGUGAUGGGGCAAAUUGAAACUGCUACAUAUUGAGAAUGGGAACUGGCUCAGAGAGUGUGGAUUUCUCUCUUGAAGUCUGGUUUUCACUCUGUCAUUGACUGAAUAUAAAUGUGUCUUGAUUUUCUGUGUGCACCAAAGAAUACUUCCCCAACAGUUCACUCUGCAGCUUUCUGUCAGUGAAAACCCAGACCAACAAUUAAGAAAAUGUCCCACAAAGGGAAUUAAUGAGAAGAGUUUCCUCCUUUCUUGGCUCCAGAAAACCUGGCCCAAGAGAGCUGUGUCAAUAAGUCUCAUACAUUUCGGUUUCUUUUGGUGGGGGUGGCAGGAAGGAUGUUGGUAUAUUUGUUUUCUAUUGCUGCUAUAACAAAUUAUCAUAAACUUGGUGCUUAAAAUGGCAUGACUUUAUUAUAGUUUUGAAGGUGAGGAGUCUAAAAUCUGUUUCACCAGGCCAAAAGUCAAGGUGGUCAGCAGGCCUGGGUUCCUUGUGGAGACUCUGUGAGCAAAUCUAUUUUCUUGCCUUUUCCAGCCUAUUCUAGAGGCUGCCUGCAUUUCUUGGCUCGGGGCUGCCUUUCUCCAUCUUCAAAGCCAGCAACAGAAGGGCCCCACCUUCUCAAUGCUGCUGCCAUGUCUGAUUCUCUUCAGCUGGCUAACUCUUUCCUUUAAAGGACUCAUAUGAUUAGAUUGGGCCUACCUGGGUAAUCCCAGCUACUCUCCCCAUCUGUAGGUUCUUAACCUUAAUGACAUAUGCAAAGUACCUUUUGCCAUGUAAGAUAACAUUCACAAGUUCUUAGAAUUACAGCAUAGUUAUCGUUGGGGGCCACUGUUUUGCUAUCACACUGCAGCAUUUUAGAUUUAAAUACAUCUGCAAUUACUCCCUGCUUAUCACCUCCCACAGGCCUUUCAAACACAUAAUCCACAAAAUUAGCCUUCCACCUGAUGUGCUUCUUCCUUGUUUGCAGGUAUCAUCUCCAUCCAACAACCUAGUUUACAGAUUGAGAAUAGUUUUCUGUAAUCCUUCAUUAGAUUGGCAAAUCUGCUGAUUUUAAUUCCUAAAUAUCUUUCCAAUCAUUUCAUUUUUAAAAUAAAA